GCGUGAGGUAUCGUAUAUCGGUAAUACUCCAGCCUUCCAAGCUGGAAAGGUGGGUUCGAUUCCCACUACCCGCUCCA
rnacentral:tRNA from 1 species